CCUACGGGUGGCAGCAGUGAGGAAUAUUGGUCAAUGGACGAGAGUCUGAACCAGCCAAGUAGCGUGAAGGAUGACUGCCCUAUGGGUUGUAAACUUCUUUUAUAUGGGAAUAAAACGUUCCACGUGUGGGAUUUUGUAUGUACCAUAUGAAUAAGGAUCGGCUAACUCCGUGCCAGCAGCCGCGGUAAUACGGAGGAUCCGAGCGUUAUCCGGAUUUAUUGGGUUUAAAGGGAGCGUAGGUGGAUUGUUAAGUCAGUUGUGAAAGUUUGCGGCUCAACCGUAAAAUUGCAGUUGAAACUGGCAGUCUUGAGUACAGUAGAGGUGGGUGGAAUUCGUGGUGUAGCGGUGAAAUGCUUAGAUAUCACGAAGAACUCCGAUUGCGAAGGCAGUUCACUGGACUGCAACUGACACUGAGGCUCGAAAGUGUGGGUAUCAAACAGGAUUAGAUACCCUAGUAGUC
rnacentral:rRNA from 1 species